rnacentral:rRNA from 1 species
GACGAACGCUGGCGGCGUGCUUAACACAUGCAAGUCGAACGAAGUGGCGAACGGGUGAGUAACGCGUAAUCAACCUGCCCUUCAGAGGGGGACAACAGUUGGAAACGACUGCUAAUACCGCAUACUGAAGGAGGGGAUUGCGUCUGAUGAGCUAGUUGGAGGGGUAACGGCCCACCAAGGCGAUGAUAAGUAGCGGGCUGGAGAGGAUGACCGGCAACAUUGGGAUGGAGAAACGGCCCAGCCUCUUACGGGAGGAACCAGUGGGGAACUUGCGGCAAUGGAGGAAAGCCGGCGGGAGCAAGGCCGGGGGAGGGAGGACGGCCUCGGGUUUGUAAGCUAUUUUCAGCGGGGAGCGUUACCGGCAUAAGAAGCAACGGCUAACUACGUGCCAGCAGCCGCGGUAAUAC